rnacentral:rRNA from 1 species
UACGAAGGGGGGCUAGCGUUGCUCGGAAUCACUGGGCGUAAAGGGUGCGUAGGCGGAUCUUUAAGUCAGGGGUGAAAUCCUGGAGCUCAACUCCAGAACUGCCUUUGAUACUGAGGAUCUCGAGUUCGGGAGAGGUGAGUGGAACUGCGAGUGUAGAGGUGAAAUUCGUAGAUAUUCGCAAGAACACCAGUGGCGAAGGCGGCUCACUGGCCCGAUACUGACGCUGAGGCACGAAAGCGUGGGGAGCAAACAGG